rnacentral:lncRNA from 1 species
CGUGAUUGCUUCAGGGAUGGCUAUGUGAUCCAUUCAAAGUCCUUGGUAUAAUGAGAUCCUGGAUCUUCUUUAAACCUUCAGUUUGAGCAGCCUCCUCUGAAACUACCCCUACAAAGGAAGCAGGGUGCUUCUUCACCUACAAAGGAGCACAGGUGUUUCUUCUCCUUCCCCGUCACCCCUUUUCAAAUGUUACCACCCUUCAUAGCAUCAGAUAGAUUCCAUCGCAUGCACCUGCACACAUCCAGAGGCGCAUUCACAGAGCACUGCAUGGAGCUACGUGCACCGAUG